GACGAACGCUGGCGGCGUGCUUAACACAUGCAAGUCGAACGGAAAGGCCCUGCUUUUGUGGGGUGCUCGAGUGGCGAACGGGUGAGUAACACGUGAGUAACCUGCCCUUGACUUUGGGAUAACUUCAGGAAACUGGGGCUAAUACCGGAUAGGAGCUCCUGCUGCAUGGUGGGGGUUGGAAAGUUUCGGCGGUUGGGGAUGGACUCGCGGCUUAUCAGCUUGUUGGUGGGGUAGUGGCUUACCAAGGCUUUGACGGGUAGCCGGCCUGAGAGGGUGACCGGCCAGGUUGGGACUGAUGUACAGAGGAGGCUCCUGCGGGAGGCAGCAGUGGGGAGUGUUGAACGAGGGGCGGAAGCCUGCUGCAGCAACGCAGCGGGCGGGAUGCGGGCGUUCGGGUUGUAAACCGCGGACGCCGGGGAAGAAGCGUGAGGGAGGGUGAUGGGUAAAGAAGCACGGGCAAACUCUGGG
rnacentral:rRNA from 1 species